rnacentral:rRNA from 1 species
UACGUAGGGAGCGAGCGUUGUCCGAAUUCAUUGGGCGUAAAGAGCUCGUAGGCGGCUUGGCAAGUCGGGUGUGAAAACUCCAGGCUCAACCUGGAGACGCCACCUGAUACUGCCAUGGCUAGAGUCCGGUAGGGGACCACGGAAUUCCUGGUGUAGCGGUGAAAUGCGCAGAUAUCAGGAGGAACACCGGUGGCGAAGGCGGUGGUCUGGGCCGGUACUGACGCUGAGGAGCGAAAGCGUGGGGAGCGAACAGG